rnacentral:rRNA from 1 species
CCCCUAGAUGUUCUGGGCCGCACCCGCGCUACACUGAACAGUUCAACAAGUCUUAACCUUGGCCGAUAGGUCUGGGUAAUCUUUGAACGCUGUUCGUGAUUGGGAUAGACCUUUGCAAUUAUGGGUCUUCAACGAGGAAUUCCUAGUAAACGCAAGUCAUCAGCUUGCAUUGAUUACGUCCCUGCCCUUUGUACACACCGCCCGUCGCACCUACCGAUUGAAUGGUCCGGUGAAAUCUCGGGACGGCGGCUUGGUCGCUUGCGUCCGACUGCUGAAACUUGAUUAAACCAUAUCAUUUAGAGGAAGGUGAAGUCGUAACA